rnacentral:rRNA from 1 species
UUANGACGCCUUGGCNANNNNCACCNCCNCGGGAUACCNCNNNGGNNUNCNUNNNNNNNNANGCGANAGUUGGNNNANGCUAUCCCGCUUAGGGUUGGUAAAUUUCGUGCCAGCCACCGCGGUCAUACAAUUAACCCAAAUUAAUUACUUUUCGGCGUAGAACGAGAUAAAUAUAAUAAAAACAAAUAGAAUUAAAAUCCAACUUAUAUGUGAAAAUUCAUUGUUAGGACUUAAAUCCAAGAACGAAAGUAAUUCUAACUUUUAUUUACACGAUAGCUAAGAUCCAAACUGGGAUUAGAUACCCCACUAUGCUUAGCCUUAAACUUAAAUAAUUAAAUAACAAAAAUAUUUGCCAGAGGACUACUAGCCACAGCUUAAAACUCAAAGGACUUGGCGGUACUUUAUAUCCAUCUAGAGGAACCUGUUCUAUAAUCGAUAAACCCCGCUAUACCUCACCACCUCUUGCUAAUCCAGCCUAUAUACCGCCAUCUUCAGCAAACCCUAAAAAGGCCUAAAAGUAAGCACAAGAACACACAUAAAAACGUUAGGUCAAGGUGUAUCUCAUGAGGUGGAAAGAAAUGGGUUACAUUUUCUUUUUAAAGAACAU